UACGUAGGGUGCGAGCGUUAAUCGGAAUUACUGGGCGUAAAGCGUGCGCAGGCGGCUUUGCAAGACAGAUGUGAAAUCCCCGGGCUUAACCUGGGAACUGCAUUUGUGACUGCAUGGCUGGAGUGCGGCAGAGGGGGAUGGAAUUCCGCGUGUAGCAGUGAAAUGCGUAGAUAUGCGGGAGGAACACCGAUGGCGAAGGCAAUCCCCUGGGCCUGCACUGACGCUCAUGCACGAAAGCGUGGGAGCAAACAGG
rnacentral:rRNA from 1 species